AUCCGGAGGGUGCAAGCGUUAAUCGGAAUUACUGGGCGUAAAGGGUACGUAGGCGGUUAAAUAAGUUGGAUGUGAAAGCCCCGGGCUCAACCUGGGAACUGCAUUCAAAACUGUUUGACUAGAGUGUAUGAGAGGUUGGCGGAAUUCCAGGUGUAGCAGUGAAAUGCGUAGAUAUCUGGAGGAACAUCAGUGGCGAAGGCGGCCAACUGGCAUAACACUGACGCUGAGGUACGAAAGCGUGGGGAGCGAACGGGAUUAGAAACCCCAGUAGUCC
rnacentral:rRNA from 1 species